rnacentral:lncRNA from 1 species
AUGGAAAAUAAUAGGGAAGGAAAAAAAUAUGUUUGCUCCCAAAUAGAAGAUUCUUUACAAGUUUAUUUUCCUCUCUUAAUCUGCAGAGUCGUGACUACUAUACUUCCUCAACACUCUUCUCCAUGUCUUUUGUUGUCAAAUGGGACCCCUCACUUAUGUGAGCAUCAAAUCUCUGCCCACAAUUAUCUAUUACUUUUUUUGUUUUUUGAGGCUCUACAGGAGAAUCUACUUCCUUGACUUUUCUUUUUUUUUUAACUGAUUCCAUGGAAACUACUUCCUUGACUUUUCUUUUUUUAAUUGAUUUCACGGAAACACUAGUAAUGAAGAAGAGAGUAAUGAAAUAGUGAGUAACUAGUAAUUAAGUAAUGAAGUAACUAAUAAUGAAGGAGAGAUGGAAAGGGAACGUCAGUGUUACAGACAAUUUACAUUUUUAUGCAACCAUUGUGCUUAUAAAGAGGAACAAGGCAAUGGGAUGAAGAAAGUGGGAGGGAUGAUGGCUCAACUCACAUUUGUAGUCUCAGUGAUAAAUCUCUUGUAGAUUUUUUAAUUAAAGUAUUACUUUAUGCUGUUUUUUUUUUCUUGAAAGAAAGAUAGAGAAAGAGAAAGAGGAGAGAGAACAGGAGUCCCGUUCCAUUGCCCAGGCUGGAAUGCAAUCCAAAAAUAGGUAUUAAAAACCUCUUUUAUGCCGAUAAUUGUGCUCAACAGUGGAGACAGGAAGGAAUAAGGGAAGAAAACAAUAAACAAACAGGCAACUAAUAUUUCAUCUAAGUCUGUGAAAUGCUAUGCAAAUGCUGAAGACCGAUCUACUUCCAAACAUGUGGUCACCUUCAAAAUAGUGUAAUGUGAUACUAAGAAAAAUGUAUGUUCUGUAGACCAGAGAUGAAGAAUUCUAUAAAUAUUCGCUGAGUUUACUUGUUCCAGGUCUGAGUUCAAAUCACAGAUGUUCCUGCCAAUUUUCUAUCUCAUUGAUUCGUCGAAUAUCAACAAUGUGGUAUCAAAGUCUCCCACCAUUAUUGUGCAGGAGUCCAAGUCUCUGUAUAAGUCAUUAAGAACUUAUGUAUCGGAGUGUUCCUACACUGGGUGCACAUAUACCUAUAAUCAUUGACUCCUGUUGUUGCACCGAUCCUCUUACCACCAUGUAAUGUCCCUCCCCAUUUGCCUUAGUCUUUGCCAUCACCAAAGUCUACCCCGUCAGAGACGAAAGUUACAACUCCUUAUUAUUAUUAUUAUUAUUAUUUUUUUUGCUCUCCAUUUGAUUGAUAAGUCUUCCACCAACCCUUUGUUUUGAGUCUUUGUGUGUCCUUGCUUAUGAGAUGGAUCUGAAUACAGUGUACCGAUGGGUUUUGACUUUUUAUUCAAUUUGCCUGUCUGUGUCUUUGAUUGGGCCAUUUAAUCCAUUUUAAUUUAGGAUUAAUAUUGAUAUUUGUGAGUUUAAUAUCGUUGUUUAAUGCUAGCUGGCUAUUUUGCCCAUUAGUUGAUAUAGAUUCUUCAUUAUGGAAAUGCUUUUUACCUUUUGGUAAGUUUUUGGGAUGACUGACACUGGUUGUUCCUUUCUGUGUAUAGUGCUUCUUUCAGAAGCUCUUGUAAAGCAGGCCUGGUGGUGAUGAAAUCUCUGAGUGCUUGUUUGUUCACAAAAAGUUUUAUUUUUCCUUCAUUUAUGAAGCUUAGUUUGGCUGGAUAUGAGAUUCUGGAUUUAAAAUUCUUUUCUUUGAGGAUAUUGAAUAUUGACCCCACUCUCUUCUAGUUGGUAGGGUUUCUGCUGAGAGAUCUGCUGUGAGUCUGAUAGGCUUUCAUCUAUUACUUUUAGUGCAUUUUGUUAGAAUUUAAAUUUACUUCACAAUUUAGUAAUGAACUGAGUCCCCCACACAGUUAGGCAACAACUGGUAAACAAUUAGAACUAUUCAAAAUUUCUACUUUUAUUUAGGAAUUCAUCAAUAUUUGAUGUUAGAAAUUUAAAACAAUACAGAUGUAUUUGUGGGAAGAGGUGUAUGUAGACAACUAAAGGCAAUUAGAUAUUUAGCUUCUUUCUUUUUCUUUUGAGACAGAGUCUCACUGUGUCACCCAGGCUGGAGUGCAGUGGCAUGAUCUCAGCUCACUGCAACCUCCACCUCCCUGGUUCAAGUGAUCCUCUUGCCUCAGCCUUCCAAGUAGCUGAGAUUAUAGGUGCCCAUCACCAUACUUGCUAAUUUUUAAAAUAUUUUUGGUGGGUAUGGUGAUUCACCAUGUUGGCCAGGCUGGUCUCGAAUUCCUGACUUCAGAUGAUCUGCCCACCUCAGCCUCCCAAAGUGCUGGGACUACAGGCAUGAGCCACUGUGCCCGGCCUUUGCUUAUAAAAGACUCAAUUAACUUCGAUUUAGCUUUCUCCUGUGCCCACUGACCAUGCAAUAGAUCCCUCUAAAUGUCAGAUAGGCAUCUAAAAAUUAAGUUGUCUAGAACUAAAACCCUGAUUUUCAUUCCACUGAACAUGAGAUAAGACAAAACAAAGCAAAACAACUUCUUCCCAUCUUUCCCAUUUCAGUAAAUGGCAGCAUAAUUAUGUAAUAGCUUAUCGAAAAAAAAAGUCUAGGAGUUUUUCUUGUCUGUUUCUCAAACCACAUAUUCAUUUAUCAGCAAGUCAUGAUAAAACCUAAUUCAUAAUUUAAAAUAAUCAUAAUGAAGUAUAUCAUGGAUGAUGUAGGUUUGUAGAGUAGCAUUGAAUGCUUGCAUAAUUCACCUGCUUGUUUUCUAAGAUGAGCAUACUGAGAAAAGUGUGAAGAAAAGAGAAGAGAAUAACCACUCAAAAGAUCUCCCUGACUUUUAUCUCUUCUUCCCGCAUUUAACGAUUCUGCCAUAGGAGUUUGAAUUAUAAUCGUGAAAGAUACAAUCCCAAAUGCCAUAAACCUGAAUGUUGAAAUCAUGAAAGCCAAAUUGUGGGGAGGAGAUUAGCGUGGUUUUGGUUGUAUGCAGCAUAGUUGCAUCAUGUUAGUAGUAUCAUGUUAGGUGUAACUAUGAUUUUGUUAUUGCCCCCUUUUGGAAAUUAAGUAUAGUUUAAGGAGAUGCAUGUGGUUGUUAAAUUGACAAGGAGUAGACGUGUGAACUUAAUUUUAGGUGUCUCAAUAUGACUGGAUUAAGGAAUAACUAGAAACCUGUUGAAAUAUUAUUUUGGGUAUGUUCCUGAAGGUGUUUCCAGAGGUGAUUAGUGUGUGAGACUAGGUGGUCUAGGUAAGGAAGAUCUUUUCUUAUUAGCUCUGCUAACCUAAUCUAACUCUGGAUCUUGAAAGUUAUAUUCUUAUUCUGAGUCUUAUUUUGAAGUCAAAUUUCCUUGAGAGUUAGCCUCUCGAUUCCUAGUCAACUUGUUUUUAAAAAUAAAAAUGCAACCUCUCCCUUUUAAGAGACACUUUCAGUCUCCUGGCUAUUCAACCUGCCUAGGCUUGGGAGCUAGUUAAAAAGACGUCCUCCUUGACCCCCAUCUAUCCUCUCCUGAUACCAAAGCCAAAAGAAUAGAGGUUAUUUCUGUGUAGGAAUUGAAACCUUCUCUUGACUUUUUCUGGUUAAAAGUUUUUCCUCAAAAGCCUCCUUUGGUAUUCAUUUUGUGAGUUUCUUCCUAUACUUCUAUGAGGUAUUUGAGUUAAUUCUAUGUAAUGUAGAACCUUCAGCACAUGGGGCAGGUCAUCUGGCCUAGCUUGGAGUUAGGUUGACAGAAACACAUCUCUUUUCAAAAAUGACUUUUUUCUCAAAUAAUUUUAUUAUCACAUUUUAAUAUUUAAAUAUGAAAUCCUUCUAGUUUUUAAUCUAAGAAAUUUUUACAAAUAGUAUAUAGACUCCUCACACCUCCUUAAAAAUAAAGAAAAAAGAAAGCACGGAUAGAAGGAAGAAAGUAAGGAAAAGAGAAAAGGAAGAAAAAAAUGAAAGAAGGGAAGAAAAGUUGCUUGAGGUUACUUCCCAUUUGUGUUGGGAAAUGAGCAGAUUUUGAAAUCAGUCAGACUUAGACAUGAGUUUAAAUCUUACCUAUGCUGCUUAAUAGAUGUGUGUCAUUAGGUAAGCUUUUUAAAACCAUUUUUACUAUGAGAAUGAGCUCCCAGAAAGCAGGACAUGUGACUUCAUUUUGACACAAGCGCCUAAGGCAAAGGAGGCUGGAGAGUGAAUGAAUGAGUGAACCA